GACGAACGCUGGCGGCGUGCUUAACACAUGCAAGUCGAACGGAAAGGCCCUGCUUUUGUGGGUUGCUCGAGUGGCGAACGGGUGAGUAACACGUGAGUAACCUGCCCUUGACUUUGGGAUAACUUCAGGAAACUGGGGCUAAUACCGGAUAGGAGCUCCUGCUGCAUGGUGGGGGUUGGAAAGUUUCGGCCGUUGGGGAUGGACUCGCGGCUUAUCAGCUUGUUGGUGGGGUAGUGGCUUACCAAGGCUUUGACGGGUAGCCGGCCUGAGAGGGUGACCGGCCACCAUGGGACUGAGAUACGGCCCAGACUCCUACGGGACGCAGCAGUGGGGAAUAUUGCGCAAUGGGCCGAAGUCUGAUGCAGCAACGUCGCGUGCGGGAUGACGGCCUUCGGGUUGUAAACCGCUUUCGCCUGUGACGAAGCGUGAGUGACGGUAAUGGGUAAAGAAGCACCGGCUAACUACGUG
rnacentral:rRNA from 1 species